CUCUGCCCUGACUUUUGUCUGCUUGUCCACAAGAUCAGCUCUGAUGUCGUGCAGAUGACUUUGGACCUACCUUAUUGCUAUGGACUUGUCUGAUGUUCAUGGGACUCUUGGCUGACCCUUGUACCCAGCAUCCAGCCCACUGCCCUUCUUGCUUGGGCACAACGGGACUGCACCAGUUUGGGGAGGACACUGCCUCUGUUGAUGCCUGUGGCUUCCGAAUCAUCUUUGCGGAUCAGUCCCCUGACACUGGAUUUCCCGUUGUGUCAACACCCACAUUAGAGCCUUUCAUGUGAGAAAUGCUAUUCUUCUAUGAAGAGUUGCAGAAUAUUUGCCUAGAGCAGACAUUAAGGAAAUGCCCUUGAGUGAGCUGAGAAGGCAUGAGGAGGAACACGAGAAGGAACAGAUGCAGUUUUGAAGGUCUUCACUGCAAGCAGAACAGGUAGGUGAUACGCAGCCGUGCUCAGGAUAAGGUUUGGAAUAGGAACAAUAGGAAGAGAACCAGGGAAGAUGUUUUUCCUGCCCAAACAGUUGCAUCUGUGCUGACUAGAGAGUGUGGGUCUUGACGCUAUUACAGUUUGAACAGAGGGUACAUACACUUCACACAGACACUCCCAUGCCAUAUGGCUGGGAGCAUGCUCGAAGCGUA